GAAGCUGGCUAGACAGUCGCUGCCCGCCUUUCGAUAAGAGAGGCGGGGGGAGGAAAGUCCGGGCUCCAAAGAGCAGGAUGCCGGUCAACGGCCGGCCGCCGCGAGGCGAGGAACAGGGCCACAGAGACGAGCGUAUUAAGUUACGGUGAAACGCGGUAACCUCCAUCCGGAGCAAGACCAAAUAGGCAGGCGAUGAUGCUGCUCGCUGAGCCUGCGGGUAGGUCGCUUGAGCGCCCGGGUAACCGUGCGUCUAGAGGAAUGACUGUCCAUGACAGAACCCGGCUUAUCGGCCAGCUUCAUUC
rnacentral:RNase_P_RNA from 1 species